rnacentral:rRNA from 1 species
CUGGCUCAGGAUGAACGCUAGCGGCAGGCUUAACACAUGCAAGUCGAGGGGCAGCAUAAUGGAUAGCAAUAUCUAUGGUGGCGACCGGCGCACGGGUGCGUAACGCGUAUGCAACCUACCUUUAACAGGGGGAUAACACUGAGAAAUUGGUACUAAUACCCCAUAAUAUCAUAGAAGGCAUCUUUUAUGGUUGAAAAUUCCGAUGGUUAGAGAUGGGCAUGCGUUGUAUUAGCUAGUUGGUGGGGUAACGGCUCACCAAGGCGACGAUACAUAGGGGGACUGAGAGGUUAACCCCCCACACUGGUACUGAGACACGGACCAGACUCCUACGGGAGGCAGCAGUGAGGAAUAUUGGUCAAUGGACGCAAGUCUGAACCAGCCAUGCCGCGUGCAGGAUGACGGCUCUAUGAGUUGUAAACUGCUUUUGUACGAGGGUAAACGCAGAUACGUGUAUCUGUCUGAAAGUAUCGUACGAAUAAGGAUCGGCUAACUCCGUGCCAGCAGCCGCGGUAAUACGGAGGAUUCAAGCGUUAUCCGGAUUUAUUGGGUUUAAAGGGUGCGUAGGCGGUUUGAUAAGUUAGAGGUGAAAUCCCGGGGCUUAACUCCGGAAUUGCCUCUGAUACUGUUGGGCUAGAGAGUAGUUGCGGUAGGCGGAAUGUAUGGUGUAGCGGUGAAAUGCUUAGAGAUCAUACAGAACACCGAUUGCGAAGGCAGCUUACCAAACUAUAUCUGACGUUGAGGCACGAAAGCGUGGGGAGCAAACAGGAUUAGAUACCCUGGUAGUCCACGCAGUAAACGAUGAUAACUCGUUGUCGGCGAUACACAGUCGGUGACUAAGCGAAAGCGAUAAGUUAUCCACCUGGGGAGUACGUUCGCAAGAAUGAAACUCAAAGGAAUUGACGGGGGCCCGCACAAGCGGAGGAACAUGUG